ensembl:lncRNA
GUCAAACUUGGGUUAAGCAUGACAAGAAUUUCCCCAGUGUAAGAAGAUGACGUUUGCUGAAAGUAUCGGACAGCGCGCUUUUGGAUGUGUUAACACUAUUACAGAAGACUGUGUGCUGGAUGAGACACUGCAUGGCAUCCCAGAACUGACAUGGAGCCAGUGUGACGGAGACAAGCUGCACAGAUGCUGGACCAUGUGCUGAGGCCAACUCAAUGGAAACAUGGCUAAAAACUACAAGAGAUACAGAGAUUACAGUAAUGCUAUUUGGCAGAGAAAAUUCUCAACUACAAAACACUUUUUUCAGCAUAGUCACCACCAUGAGCUGUGCAUUCUUGUCAGCAAUGAACAAGAGCCUGCAUGCCAUAAAAUCUACAUGGUCAUCCAGAAAUUGACUUGUCUUUCACACUGCUGUCACCACUGCUGAAACGCAUCUACCACCGCCUCACUGUGCUCACAUCCACUGAGCCCCUUUCAGCGCCUCCUAGCUCAAGUUGGAGUGAAUGAUGGGAGACCCAAGUGCUGUACGGCAUUAGGCUUGGUGAUCUCCCAUGGAGAAAGGUUAAGACUUCUCUCCUGCAAGCAGAAACAUGUCUACUGUGGUUCUCUAGAAAGAGUUUGUCUAGACUUGGUGGGGACCGUACUGACUUUGCCAUCAAGUCUGUAGGAAGACGAUUACAAUACUUCCCAGGUCUCUCACCUUUCUCCCAGCCCAGGCCAUCGUUUCUGGGUGCUGCCAAGUUCUCCUGAUCCAGCAGAUCAUUCCUGACAGCUCCUGACUGCCGACAGGGCCUGGCUGAACACACCGUGGGGCAGGUGUGUCCCUGACAACCACUUGGAAGGACAUGGAGAUAGGCAAUGUGGCUGUACCUGGGGCACUGUGAAGUGAGCCAACAAAGCAGGCUACCUGAAGUCCUCCAGGCCCAGGAGAGCUGGGAGGGUAUGCAUUGCUUUGGAAACUUGACUACCACUCCAGAAGCAGCUUCUCCCCGUGUCUGCUCAGUGGUGUGCCGUGUGCCAAAUGGUCCAACCUCACAUGCUGAAAAACCAAGCUUUCAGCUGUCUGUGUCUCACUGGAAGUCUGUCCAAACAGGAUUUAAGAACAUCACUGAAAUCUCUUCCAAGGACAAGAGUACCCUGAGGGAGAGAACAAAUAUCACACACUGUGAAAGAGAGAAAAUUCAGAUCAGAUGCAGGGAAACCAAAAGUGAUUCCUUACUUAAUUCUUUGCCGGUAUAACUCACCAGUGAAAGAUAAAUGUUGUG